CAGAACUUUGGUUUGUUACAAUGAUUGUUAAGCUAUUGUGUUCAUAUAUUGUAUAUUGUCAAACGGGCACUGUUCGUUUCCCUGUCAUACAACUAUAAUGCUGGGGCAUAGCUCACAAACAAGGUUUCACAUAAACCACACUGACCCCUACAGGUCACUCAAAAUCUCACGUUAACCUUGCAUUUGGAAUAAUCCCUUAAGGACCAAACUCUGGAAUAAAAUGGAAUCAUGAUAUGUCACACGUCAUGUAUCCUUCAGGGGUUAAAGGGUAUUUUACCAUACAAUCAGCAUUUCUGACCCCUACUGGUCAACAGCAAAACUGUCUUCACAUGUCAUAUACAAUUACCAGCCAAUAUAAAUUACUCAUAAGAUUGUUUUAAACAUAACCAUAAACUAAACUCCAACACGGGCUCAACUUCAGGUUUAAUUCACAAUAAUUUACAUUUCACAUUAAGACCAACAGUGGUUCUAUCAACACUGCCA